rnacentral:rRNA from 1 species
AGCGAACGCUGGCGGCAUGCCUAACACAUGCAAGUCGAACGAACCUUUCGGGGUUAUUGGCGGACGGGUGAGUAACACGUGGGAACGUUCCUUUAGGUUCGGAAUAACUCAGGGAAACUUGUGCUAAUACCGAAUGUGCCCUUCUGGGGAAAGAUUUAUCGCCUUUCAAGCGUCCCAGGUCUGAUGCGCUGAUUGGUUAAGGUAACGGCUCACCAAGGCCGCGUUGAGUAGUUGGUCUGAGAGGGUGAUCCGCCACGCUGGAACUGAGACACGGCCCAGACUGCUGCGGGAGGAAGCAGUAGGGAAUCGGCCGCAAUGGGCGAAAGCCGGACGGAGCAACGCCGCGUGAGUGAUGAAGGUCUUCGGAUCGUAAAACUCUGUGAUUAGGGAAGAACAAAUGUGUAAGUAACUAUGCACGUAGUGACGGUACCUAAUCAGAAAGCCACGGCUAACUACGUG